CCUACGGGGCGCAGCAGUGAGGAAUAUUGGUCAAUGGCCGGAAGGCUGAACCAGCCAUGCCGCGUGAAGGUCAGUGCCCUAUGGGCGUUAAACUUCUUUUGUGCGGGAGCAAUAAUGGUCACGUGUGGCCAGACGAGAGUACCGUACGAAUAAGCAUCGGCUAACUCCGUGCCAGCAGCCGCGGUAAUACGGGGGAUGCAAGCGUUAUCCGGAUUUAUUGGGUUUAAAGGGUGCGUAGGCUGUGAGGUAAGUCAGCGGUGAAAUGCCCCCGCUCAACGGGGUGAAGUGCCAUUGAUACUGCCUGGCUGGAAUGCGGAUGCCGUGGGAGGAAUGUGUGGUGUAGCGGUGAAAUGCAUAGAUAUCACACAGAACACCGAUUGCGAAGGCAUCUCACGAAUCCGCGAUUGACGCUGAUGCACGAAAGCGUGGGUAUCAAACAGGAUUAGAUACCCUUGUAGUC
rnacentral:rRNA from 1 species